AAUGAACGUUGGCGGCGUGGAUUAGGCAUGCAAGUCGAACGGGCCAGCAAUGGUCAGUGGCGAAAGGGAGAGGAAUAGUUAGGUACCUGCCUCUAGGUUCGGGAUAGCCAAGGGAAACUUUGGGUAAUACCGAAUGUGGUCUCCGGAUCAAAGGUGUGAUUCCGCCUGGAGAGGGGCCUGACUCCUAUCAGCUUGUUGGUGAGGUAACGGCUCACCAAGGCGAAGACGGGUAGCAGGUGUGAGAGCACGACCUGCCUCACUGGGACUGAGAUACUGCCCAGACACCUACGGGUGGCUGCAGUCGAGAAUCUUUGGCAAUGGGGGCAACCCUGACCAAGCGACGCCGCGUGCGGGAUGAAGGCCUUCGGGUUGUAAACCGCUUUUCUGGAGGAUGAAAUGCUUGAGGGUUCUCCCUCAGGUUUGACAGAUUUCAGGAAUAAGCUCGGGCUAAGUUCGUGCCAGCAGCCGCAGUA
rnacentral:rRNA from 1 species